rnacentral:rRNA from 1 species
AUUGAACGCUGGCGGCAGGCCUAACACAUGCAAGUCGAGCGGGGUUUUCGGACCUAGCGGCGGACGGGUGAGUAAUGCGUAGGAAGCUACCCGACAGAGGGGGAUACCAGUUGGAAACGACUGUUAAUACCGCAUAAUGUCUACGGACCAAAGUGUGGGACCUUCGGGCCACAUGCUGUCGGAUGCGCCUACGUGGGAUUAGCUAGUUGGUGAGGUAAUGGCUCACCAAGGCGACGAUCCCUAGCUGGUUUGAGAGGAUGAUCAGCCACACUGGAACUGAGACAGGUCCAGACUCCUACGGGAGGCAGCAGUGGGGAAUAUUGGACAAUGGGCGCAAGCCUGAUCCAGCCAUGCCGCGUGUGUGAAGAAGGCC